rnacentral:lncRNA from 1 species
UUUCACUCUCUUUCGGAAAAUUUUUGAUUGUUCAUUUUAUGAAACCAAAAAGACUAAAUUAUAUAAAAACUUUCUAUCAAUACUCAUUUUUUUAUUUUCUUUUCUGUCAUUCAAAAAUCUAUACUUUACUUUCUUAAAAAAUAAAAAAUAUUUAUAAAAAUACGGUGUGAUAAAAUGACCAAAUUAUCCUCAUCUUCUUCUUCUCCUUCCCAAUCCUCGACUCUAGCUCCGAGUCCGUUUCCUCCAUCUGCUCCCCUGCUCCUCUAGCACCAUCGCAGUCCCUCUAUUUCGGCAACUGUAGGGAGGAGAUCGUGGUGGGCAGAGAGAUGGGCGAGGGCGAGGGCGAGACGGCGAAGAAGGGUGAGGCGGCAAAGGAGGACAAGGGUGAGUGCGCAAGGCAGCAGAGUAGGGCGAGGCGACACGGCUGAGGAUGUUGGUGGGGAACGAGGAUGAAGAUGAGAAUUUUAGAGAUAUUUUAGGUAUAAAAAAUAGGAUAUAAACGAAAUCCUAACAGAACAUUGACGGCGGAAACCGAAAUUAAUAUUUUUUAUUUUUUAAGGAGGCAAAGUAGGUUUUACGGUGACAAAAAAAGUAAAAAAGCGGAUAUUGAUUGAAAUUUUUUUUGUAAUUUAGCCAAGCGAAAUGUAGAUAUAAAUAUAAGUAUUUGAAAUAAAAUAUGGCAUUUUUUGACUCCUUAAGAAAUAU